UGUAGAAGGAGGAGACCCUGACCAGCUUCAGAGAAGACUCCAGACCUGUCCCUAGGCCUGCAAGCUGUGCAGUUUCAGCUGUGCUGUCCCCUGAGUCACAGCCUGAGCUGAGGUGGGCUCUGCAGGGAUGCAGCUGCUGUGAAUCCAUUCCAGCUCCUAUCUGGAUGUGCAGAAGAAGCUUCUCUGAGCACAGUGGAGAGCAGCACUGACCCAGAUCAGCACCAGGAGGAUGUGGACCCAGCAGCACCAGCUCCCAGGAUCUUCUGCCUUUCCUUGUCAGAUUGUCACUGCAGGGACAGCCAGCCUGUAGGACUGAGCAGCUUCUGGGUUCUCUGUUCUUACUGUGAAUGUGGACAUUGCUAUGCUACCUAGUGGAUGACUAACCUAUAAUAGUAAUAAUAUUAUAAAAUAUUAUAUUUUCUCUUAUGACUAUAUUAUAUAUAGUCAUUUAAAAAUAAAAGACACAUUUUUUUCUUUUGUUCUAGAGAUGGCUGCCUAGUAAGGUGUGGUUAUAAUAAAUAUCUACUGCAAAAUUAA